rnacentral:lncRNA from 1 species
AUGAAAAGAAAAAGUACCCCAGAUCGGUGGGAGAUGAAUCUUUAUUGUCAUAGUCUGUCAGCAGGACACUGCAAGCAUUGGAAAAGGAAAAACAAUAAUAGUCCGUCUUUAAAUGUGGCUCUGGCUCCCUCCGCCCAAUCUUUGUCUGUGGGACUGUGCAUGGACCAGAAAGACCCCUUCAGGAGCCCUCACCCCACGCCACAGCCCCUGAUUUGCUCUCCAGGAGAACCGUUAUUACUGAGCCCAUUGGCAGUCUUGUUGAAGUCAAACGGCCACAGUCAACAUGGAAAUCCUAAUUAAUAGACGCUCAUGCUGCUCUCGGGCACGGCAGCGGAAGUAAUUAUCAUGAUUUAAUUGACUUUUCUCCCCUCUGUUAGGCACUCUGCUUUUUCCAUUUUCUUGAGCUAGGAAGGGUUAUUUUUUUUUUUUUUUAAAAAAAGCACCUCCUUUCUCUCUCUCUUUUUCCCCCUUUUAAUACAGACUGCCUCUCACCCCACUGCUCUAUUUGUCAAAUCCUAUUACAGUAAAUAUUUUGACGGCACAAAUCUCUGUGUUACAGAAAAGUCCAGCGCCUGAGCCAGCGGCUUACUUAUAAGGAGCGUGUUGGUUUUGUAAAGGUGCCGGCAGACCCAGUGAAGGUGUCUGGCGAGCAGAAGGGGAGUCUGUUUGCUCAGAGGUGCUGGUUUCAGCAAGCCCCUUGGGGGGCAGUGGGGACAGAGGACCACGUGCCCUAGAGCCACUCGAGGGAGGUGGCUGUCGAGACACAUCCAGGGUUCAAGGCAAUCUGAGGGACCGAAGUGGGCCACUUCCAAGCUCCUAGAGCCAGAGCGACACGUCUGAAGAACUCUAAGCUGCCGUCAGGCCCCUUCGGGGUGGCUCUGUGCUCUCAUGGCUUUGACCAGCGGUGGCUGCUGAUUGGGACUCUGAUCCUGGUGAGCGGACCCUGCGUUCCCCUGGGUUUCAGUCUCAUGGCCAAGGGUCCUUGGAGCUUCCCUGGGCAAGCCUGCCUGAAUGCCUUCCCCAGAAGGCUGUGCCUGGUACUGCCAGCGGUCGAAGAGUGGGCGGCCCCGGGCCAGGCGUCCUCUCUGAUCCUGUCAGCUGUGGACGGUGGGGCGGGGUCCUGUGGUCUGCUGUCCACUCUUCAGAGCUAUGGGCAAAGCCUUUUGAGGAUAGGUGAGACUGUGGGUCCUACCAACAUAGCCCUUGAGAGCCUGACUGCCUGGAUUUGAAUCCUGGUUUGACCACCUACUUGCUGUGCAUCCUUGGGCCAUGUACUUAAACUUGGCUGCAUCUUGGUAUCCUCAUCUAUAAAAUGACAGCCCUUACUUCAUAGGUUUGUUAUAAAAGAUAUGUGACCGCUCUGUGUCACACUGGAUAAACACUCAGUAAGAUGUCCACUUACCAGCAGGGACAGGUGGACAGGGGAGGCAGUUCCUCCAUCAGCAAGCGAGAGAACUCUAGAGUCACAGACUCUGAAGACGGCAAGGAGCCUGAGUGACUGUUAGGUUAGCUCUUUCAUCAUACCCAAGGGGAAACUGAAGCACAGAGAAGGGAUGCAACCUUUUAGUAAUUUCAUUAUUAAAUAAUUUUAACAAUAUAAUAUUGGGCUGUUUGGCAUGGAGCUAAAAUUAAAACAUCUCCUUAGAUCUCAUUGGGGCUGCUUAAGAGUGCUUGACUUUUAUUAGAAUAUUACACAUUAUAGAAGAAAGUAGAAGAGAAGGUGAACCUGGGACUAUUCUAUUUUUCUUUGUCUCCAUUUGGAAAUUCUGCUUUUAAUCUUUUGAAGGAAGUACCUCAUCUUUAUUGGUCUUCUUUUUCAGAUGAUUCCUAUAUGUUGGAUCAGUGGGUAGGAUGUCACCAAUCGGCUGUGUUAUUUUAGACACUUAGCCUUUCUGAGCCUCAGUUUCCUCAUCUGAAAAAUGGGGAUAUAUUACCCUACCUGGACUGAAAGUGUCUCAAGGGCAAGGAUGGUUUCUUUUUUACCUCUUCUUCCUCUUCUAGAAUGCUGCCUAACACACAUUUCUAGGAAUUUCUAGAAAUGCUGAAUGAUCUUUUGAGCUGUUGUGAGGGUCAGAAGGAGUCAGCUUUGUAGACAAGUUGUAUAGACAGCUGUGCUCCUGAAAGGGGAGGCCAUUUGAUGCAGGAAUUGAGAUUCCAAGAAGCCAAGAUACUCCAGACCUUGACGGGUAUAUAGAGAGAGGAUGUUUGCUGGUUCUUUCUUAGGAGGGCUGGAAUGGAGGCUAGACUGGAGGGGGUUGAGAAGUGAGUGGAAGAUGUAGAAAUGGUGACAAGAGGUAUAGACAACUCCAGUGAGAGGUAUGGCUUCGAAAGGGAGGAAAGAAUCAUCGCUGUGCAUGGGGGUGGAGAUAAAGUAAUGGGUUUACCAGAGAACUUUUUACAUGUUGGUGAGACAGGGCCAGGUAUAGGAAGCGCUCAGUAAAUGUCUUCUGAAUUAAACAGACGUCUAGCUGAACCCUUGGGGUUGCCAGGGUCUUUCCCAACAUUCUCAAUAAUGGUUAUUGAUGAGAUGGUUGUAAUAAAUGAGAACCUAAGACUAGCGUAUUGGUUAAGACAAUACUGAGUGCUAUAAGAGGUAAAGCCUGAAUUUCAGUAGUUUAACACAAUGCAAAAUUACUUCUUGCUCAGCAACAGUUCAGUGAAAGUGGAAGGCGGCUUUCCAUACAGAAUUGAGGGCCCCCAUUUCCCUCCAUCUUCAACAUGUGGCUUCCAAGGUCACCAUGGAAAGAGUAGGAAAAGGUAGAGAGGGUCCGUCUGCUUGCUCAUCACAUUGGACUAGGAAGGUUCACAUCACUUCCACUCCCAUUGGUGAAAAUGACUCACAGGGCCCCAAAGGUGCAAGGGAGCCUGGGAAAUGUAGUUCCUGGUUGAGCAGGCUUUUUCCAGCCAUAGUUCUUCACUCUGGAUGGAGAGCAUGAGUGUUUAGAACACAGUCCAUCUCUCUGCACUGGAAUUGUAACCCUUUUCAGUUCUCUGAGGAGCACUUUCCAACAGCUUGAGGAGACACAAUCUAACUAACCGAGAAAAUGUUAGACUCCAAAUGAACACCAGGCCCUGCUCCUGAGGGCGAAAGAGAGAUAAGUCAUUGAUCUGGGCCUCCGUUUGCCUACUUGUAUAAUAUUAAGUCCUGC